rnacentral:rRNA from 1 species
UACAGAGGUCUCAAGCGUUGUUCGGAUUCAUUGGGCGUAAAGGGUGCGUAGGCGGCGCGGUAAGUCGGGUGUGAAAUCUCGGAGCUUAACUCCGAAACUGCAUUCGAUACUGCCGUGCUUGAGGACUGGAGAGGAGACUGGAAUUUACGGUGUAGCGGUGAAAUGCGUAGAUAUCGUAAGGAAGACCAGUGGCGAAGGCGGGUCUCCUGGACAGUUCCUGACACUGACGCUCAUGCACGAAAGCGUGGGGAGCAAACAGG